rnacentral:tRNA from 1 species
GCUUAAAUAGCUUAAUUUAAAGCACCAACUUUGUAAGCUGGAAAUAGAGGGUAACCUCUUUUAAGUU